UACGAAGGGUGCAAGCGUUAGUCGGAAUUACUGGGCGUAAAGCGUGCGUAGGCGGUCUCUUAAGUCCGUUGUGAAAGCCCUGGGCUCAACCUGGGAACUGCAGUGGAUACUGAGAAGCUAGAGUGUGUCAGAGGAUGGUGGAAUUCCCGGUGUAGCGGUGAAAUGCGCAGAUAUCAGGAGGAACACCGGUGGCGAAGGCGGGACUCUGGGCCGAUACUGACGCUGAGGAGCGAAAGCGUGGGGAGCAAACAGG
rnacentral:rRNA from 1 species